rnacentral:rRNA from 1 species
ACGAAGGGUGCAAGCGUUAAUCGGAAUUACUGGGCGUAAAGGGUGCGUAGGCGGUUCGUUAAGUCUGUCGUGAAAUCCCCGGGCUCAACCUGGGAAUGGCGAUGGAUACUGGCGAGCUAGAGUGUGUCAGAGGAUGGUGGAAUUCCCGGUGUAGCGGUGAAAUGCGUAGAUAUCGAGAGGAACACCGGUGGCGAAGGCGGCCAACUGGACAGAUACUGACGCUGAGACUCGAAAGCGUGGGGAGCAAACAGGA